rnacentral:misc_RNA from 1 species
AAGUCGUAACAAGGUCUCCGUUGGUGAACCAGCGGAGGGAUCAUUACAGAGUUAUCUAACUCCCAAACCCAAUGUGAACCUACCUAUGUUGCCUCGGCGGGAGAAGCCUACCCGGUACCUACCCUGUAGUUGAUGGCGGACCCGCCGGUGGACAUUUUAAAAACUCUUGUUUUACUGUGACAGUCUGAGUAACAAACUAAAUAAGUUAAAACUUUCAACAACGGAUCUCUUGGUUCUG